rnacentral:lncRNA from 1 species
UGAAAUCUUAACGGUUUACAUGGCUUCUGAGGAUCUGUCAGAGGUGCUCCCACACAACUGGGGAUGAGGAGUGGCUGGGGACAGUGCUGUGUCAGGGUGGAACUGUGCUCCGGUGUGACGAGAUACAUGUGGAAGAGAGCUCAGAAGUGUGGCAACCAGCCUUGGAUGACCAAGAACAUCCCAGAGGGAGCCAUGAAGACUAGUAUAAGCAGAAAGUGAAUGGAAAUGCUAUGGUGCUGAAGUACCAGAAGUAGCAACAGAAAAAUGGUAUAUGCUGAUGGCACGUGUCUUCAGGAUAUCAUGGCGUCUUUAUACAGCUAUUCAGGACACCCAGAUCAGAAGACAAGAGACAGCAUGUCAUUUCCAACCUAAGAAGAGCCCAGGAGAUGUGAUGAGAACUCAUUUUCUGUAUCACCCAAGAUGGGAAGACCGACCACCUAGAUGA